CAACACCAAAGAGAAGACAGACAACGUUAGCGACUAGCUGAUGAACAUAGUGCAGCAUUUAACAGCUAAAUAGCCAGAUAUGUAACCCAAGAGUUGAUUGAGA